UACGGGGGGUGCGAGCGUUGUCCGGAAUCACUGGGCGUAAAGGGCGCGUAGGUGGUUUGAUAAGGGUGUGGUGAAAGUCCGGGGCUCAACCCCGGAUCUGCCGUGCCGACUGUCAAACUCGAGGGCUGUAGAGGCAGACGGAAUUCCGGGUGUAGCGGUGGAAUGCGUAGAGAUCGGGAGGAACACCAGAGGCGAAGGCGGCGACCUGGACAGGUACUGACACUCA
rnacentral:rRNA from 1 species